rnacentral:lncRNA from 1 species
CCCUCCACACCCCACCUCACACCCCACUCGUGGAUACACAAACACACACGCAUCCCUCCAUGGUCGCGUGUGUGAGACCUGCCUGCGGCUCACACUACUGCCCACCGGUGCACACCGGCCCCGGGCGUACACGCGCACGCCCGCCACCUGGUCCCAACACACACAAACCACACGUCCCACCAAAAUAAACCCACCGGAGGCGCACACGCCCGCGACCACCACGCAAACACACUCCUGGAGACACACCUCUCCGGCCACAGGCUCGCGCCCCGGGAACCCCGCCGCGGUCACGGGCCCCUGUUCACACACAGCCCACGGGGACACGCGCCGGUCUCGCUCUCCGGCCACAGCACGCACAGCCCAGGAACCACGACCGCAAACAUCAGUGGCGGUGGCCCCGCGCCGGCCCUGCUCCGAGCCUUCCACGCAUUAGCCGGCUGGAUCCACAGCGGCGUCUACACACCCACCGCCGCAUGCGCGCACCGCCCGCGGCUCGGGUGGAGCGGCUCCCGGGGACACAGCCUGGGGACCCGCACGCUUUCCAGGCCCGCGGCCCCGGGCGCGCCUCCUCGCAGGCGGGGCGCGGGUGGACGCCGUGGGAGCCGCUUAACCCCCUCUCCCCCGGCCUCCCUGGGGCGCGUCCUUCCCGGGCGCCCUUCGUUCCUCCUCCCUCCCGCUCCGCCGCCUCUCUGGGGCCCACGUUCCCCUCUAUUCGUCCUCUCUGCCCCUCUGCGCUCAGACCCUGGCCCUGCGGCCCACCCCACCCGCCGCGCCGCAGGGCGGAGGAUGUCGGGGUGCGUGGGAGGGGGGCGCUCCGCGGUCACCCGGGGAGCCCCCCCAGAGGCGGAGCCUCGCGCGCCGGGGUCACUCCGGGGCGGGUCCCGGACACGCCCGAGGUCACCGAGGAGCCCCGAGGUCACCGGCCCGGCGCGCCGCCCCGCCCUCCCCAGGCGCUCCAAGGACGGCUCCCCGCGCGCCCGGCUCCCCGGGCCCCCUCGCGCCGACCGGCCCUCCCGGAGGCGGUACCUGAAGUCGCUGUACGGGUGGAUGAUCCAGGCCCCCGCCGACUUGACGCGCUCCUGCUCGCGCUCCACGGCCUUCUGGCUGCCGAACAUCCGCAGCGAGAACUUGUUGACGCCCGGCUGCAGGAGCGCGCCGAACUGGCGCUGCAUGAAGCUGGCCUGGCUGCCGCGCGGCUCCCCCGCCGGGCCCGCCUCCUCGCUGCCCGCCUCCUCCGCCGGCCCCGGCCCCGGCGCGGGCCCCGAGGCCGCCCCGCGGCACGAGAACGACACCUUGGGCCCCCGCGCCGGGCCCUCGGGCCCCGCGG